rnacentral:lncRNA from 1 species
CUAUUGGUUUUCUAUGCCCUGUCGAAGGUCUUGUUUGCUACCUAUUUAGCCUCAUGGCUGUGACUUAACAAGCUCACACACAGUUUGCAUUUAGUAUUGGAUUUGGGAUGUUAUCAAAAAAUAUGUUUGAUUUCUCUAGUCUCAUUUUAUCUCUUUCACUAUGCAGUUAAAGGAAAUAAGGACCUGUUGCACAAGUGUAUGCCAAUUCUGAGCUGAGCUUAUGUGGUGGUGUCUUUGUGAUCGCUAGGGCUAUCACCAUGAGUACCUACAAAGGGAGUCAGGAUUUAGCAACAAGUUCAUUGUGCUGCAGAUUAACACCAAAGUCACAGAUGGUUUCCACAAGUGAGUUGCACCUUAUGGCUGUGCUUCUUGCAUCUAUUGAUGACUCUGAGUGGUUUCGAUAUGGUUGAAGAAAUAAUAUUGGAUUGCAUUUUAGAAACUCUUCAUCAUGAAUCUGUUACUUCACAGUAGGUGGAAGUGUCUAGCACGACCUUACAUUGUGGUAGUGGGGCAGAUCGGAGCAAUGACUUAUUAGGCUGGAUAGGUUGGACUUUAUCAAUCCUAGUUUCAAAGUUGUGUUGGCAAUGCAUGAUUAGUCAUUUAAUUUCUCCAGUAAAAGGAAAAGGUUUAAGAUGCACCUUUGUCAUCAUCUAUUUGUCAGUUUUCUACUAAAAUUGUAUAUCCGUACUGGGUAGCAUUGUUUUUUAGGCGUAGAAUUAGUAUGACUACUGCAAAUGUAGGAAGAUGUCACAAUAUGAUUUGUAGCUUGAUGGUGUUCCUAACAUUUAGAUAAUAAAAUAAAUGGCACAAUCCUUAUGCUAUCAUUUGGCAGGUAGUACUGGAUAUAUAUCCAUGUCGUAGAGGUCUAACAACAAUCCAACGUCUAUCGUCAGGUAUUUCACCACUUCCUGUGUGCUUGCUAUUUUUUGAUAUAUAUUUCUUUGAGGUAUACUUACUGGAUUCACAAGUAGUAAAUUAGUUUUCUAUUAAUUGCUUUCCUCUCACUAUUUAUAUUUUGCUAAUUGUCUUAUAAUAAAAUUAAUUAGAAUGCACUUGUACUUGGUUCUUGUUCUCAACAAUAUAAAUCCUUCUUGCAAUCUAGUUUUGAUUUUUAAGAGAUAAGUUUUGAUUUGGUCGCUGGAGAUUGAGUUCUCAUUUCUUUGCGCCUCUGAACACAGGAAGCCAAAGAUCUGUUGUUGCUAGAGCUGAGCCAGAUGUAGGACGAGGACACCAUUGAUCUUCUACAAGCCUAAGCUUGUAAGGUAAGGAUCUUAUUUCUUGCUCUUCGAUGAUGGAUUUUGAUUGCAGUUCUAGCUAGCUAGUAUAUUAGAUUUUUUUUAUGGAUUUUAGAUCUGUAGAAAGAGUGUAAUUUGUGGAUUUGACAAACUUGUGAAACUUGUUAUGAUAGAACUUUUGAAUUUGUAAAUUUGAUGAUGGAACUUGAAUUUGAUGUUUGUGCUGCG